GGAAGGAUCAUUACAAAUGACUGGGAUGUCCUAUCGGACCCCCAAGCAAACACAUCUAUGUGUACUCUGCCAUGUUGCUUCCCCAGACCAGUGGCCACUGCUGCCAGCCCAGCCCCUAAUGGGUUCCUGGGUUGAGGUGUCUGGGGAAGGGCUCAAUAUCAAACUUUUCAACCCACUAGUCGUCUGAGAAGGCCAUGUGCCGCAAUAUUUAAACAAGUUAAAACUUUCAACAACGGAUCUCUUGGCUCUCGCAUCGAUGAAGAACGCAGCGAAAUGCGAUAAGUAAUGUGAAUUGCAGAAUUCAGUGAAUCAUCGAAUCUUUGAACGCACAUUGCGCCCUUUGGUAUUCCUUAGGGCAUGCCUGUUCGAGCGUCACUAAAAACCGACUCACAUAUCGUGUGGUAUUGGUAGAAGUGGAUAGUACUAACACUACUUUGUCUUACUCUGCUGAAAUGAAUAGGCCAGAAAAGUGGACCAUGGUAAUAGAUUCCAGGAGUGUUUUAAAAUGCUAUACUAGUCUUAUCCAAGUCAUAUUCUGAGCCACUGGACCCCCCAUUUAGUCCAAACAACAGUGGUUGACCUCGGAUCAGGUAGGGAUACCCGCUGAACUUAAGCAUAUCAAUAAGCGGAGGAAAAGAAACCAACAGGGAUUGCCUUAGUAACGGCGAGUGAAGCGGCAAAAGCUCAAAUUUGAAAUCUGGCGCUCCUGGUGCCCGAGUUGUACUUUGGAGAGGCAUCUUCUGGAGGGACCCAGCCUAUGUGCCUUGGAACAGGACGUCAUAGAGGGUGAGAAUCCCGUCCUUGGCUGGAUGUUCCCUCCUGUAUGUAGUGUCUUCUACGAGUCGAGUUGUUUGGGAAUGCAGCUCAAAAUGGGUGGUAAAUUUCAUCUAAAGCUAAAUAUUGGCGAGAGACCGAUAGCGCACAAGUAGAGUGAUCGAAAGAUGAAAAGCACUUUGAAAAUAGAGUCAAACAGUACGUGAAAUUGUUGAAAGGGAAGCGCUUGAGACCAGAGUCAGCCUUUGGCAAACAACUGUCCUUCUGGGUGGUGCACUUGUCAUUGGUUGGSCCAGCAUCGGUUGGGACGGCAGGAUAAAGGCCYAGGGAAUGUGACUCCUUUAUGGAGUGUUAUAGCCCCAGGUGKCAUGCUGUCAGCCCCGACCGUGGACCGCGCCUCGGCUCGGAUGCUGGCUUAAUGGUCUUCAGCGACCCGUCUUGAAACACGGACCAAGGAGUCUAACGUCUAUGCGAGUGUUUGGGCU
rnacentral:rRNA from 1 species